rnacentral:ncRNA from 1 species
CGGCGGGACACCUCGCCCCAACGCGAGGCUUUUACCUGGAAGGGUAGUAA